rnacentral:rRNA from 1 species
CCGCGGUAAUACGUAGGGUGCGAGCGUUAAUCGGAAUUACUGGGCGUAAAGCGUGCGCAGGCGGUUUUGUAAGACAGGCGUGAAAUCCCCGGGCUUAACCUGGGAACUGCGUUUGUGACUGCAAGGCUAGAGUACGGCAGAGGGGGGUGGAAUUCCACGUGUAGCAGUGAAAUGCGUAGAGAUGUGGAGGAACACCAAUGGCGAAGGCAGCCCCCUGGGUCGAUACUGACGCUCAUGCACGAAAGCGUGG